UACGUAGGGUGCAAGCGUUAAUCGGAAUUACUGGGCGUAAAGCGCGUGUAGGCGGUUAUCCAAGUCGGGUGUGAAAGCCUUGAGCUCAACUCAAGAAAUGCAUUCGGUACUGGGUGACUAGAGGACCGGAGAGGAUAGUGGAAUUCCCAGUGUAGUGGUGAAAUACGUAGAGAUUGGGAAGAACACCAGUGGCGAAGGCGGCUAUCUGGACGGUUUCUGACGCUAAGACGCGAAAGCGUGGGGAGCAAACAGG
rnacentral:rRNA from 1 species